AAUGAAAACAUUAAAUUGUCUUAAAGUAACCAUUUCACAUUUAGCAUAUAUCAACUUUGAAUUACAGACUUCCUCCAAGUUAGUAGCAAUUCUUUUUUUCUUUACCAGUGAUAACGAAAGACAGAAACACCACCUUGCCUUCAGGGUCAGAAAUGUGUUUGUGUUGGAAUGAGAUCAACUCUUUGUUUUCCAUAUCGUGGAGAGAGUGCACACAGAAGAGAGAUCCAAAACUCAAGACUAGGGUGUGAUGUUCUUUUAGUCGACUCGUUAGUCUCAACCAAUCAAAAAGACCAUCCCCAUCUAGGCAGCUUGUAAGUGAGAGGAGAAGCUUUGCCUGAUUUGGGUUCAAAUCCCAGCUCGCUCCUUUCUAACUUUGUGGCCUUGAUCAACGUGACUCACUUCGCAGAGUCCCAAGUUCUUCAUCUUCGGCACAGAUGAAGGAACGUUAUUAAUACGUUAAUUACGUAACAUAAUUAAUACGUUAUUAAUACGUUAUUAAUGAAAUGCUGAAUAUGGAGCGUCUCCAGACCCUGAACCUGGUAGGUGCAGAAUAGAUGACAGCCAUCCUUAUCAUGAGGACAAAUCCAAAGCCACCGAGCCCUCGGCUCAGUCUACUCUGCACUGAAUUUGAGAAAAUGGGCUGAAAUGAAUUAGGCUAGGUACCUGCAAAGGCGAUACAGCAUGUGGACCAACAGCUUCAGAUCCCAACCCUGGUUCUAGUCGAUCCUAACCAUGUGACCAGUUCCCACAUCUGGAAAAGGAGAGAAAUUGCGGAAGGUGCCUCAUGAGGGAGAAGGAAGCCGAGCUAAUGCCUAUGAUACAUUUUGCCUACCGCCUGGCACAUAGAAUUACUGACUGAGAAACUGAUCUUUGGCAGAGAAGAGCUGCAUGAACAUAACCCCUUGAUCUACUAUUGGGUCAGCUGGUUCCUUAAGAGACUGCUGUUGUGUGAAGGCAAGACCCCAGGACCCUGAGAACAGAAGGCCAAGGUUGGAAUCCCAGCUCUGCUAUCACCACCGUGUGACCUUGGACAGGUCAGAAUCAUCUCCCCAAGGCUCAAUGUCCAAAUUCUCUUUCGAGAUCAUGCAGGCUGACAUACUCUUGGGGACACAACUGAAGGAAGAAUUCAAGGAGGAGCCAUCCCCCUGAGACCUGGACUGCCUCAUGAGCUCAGGUUGCAGACAGAACUUCAAUGACACCAAUGUCACCAUUGCGAGUUCACGACGAAGGAAUCAUUUUGGAGUCUCUACUUGUAGAUUCCAUUAAAAUAAAAUAGGGCUUUAAAGUUUUCUAAGACCUCUAUCUCAUAGUUUUUAAUUAAUAAGAAUUGCAGUAUCACUUAAAUAUAUAAUCUUCUUGGAGCUAUAAAGUCCAGCUGGUGGCCAAUUACAUUUUAAUCUAUUUA